rnacentral:lncRNA from 1 species
CAGCACUCUGUAAAAUGGACCAAUCAGCUUGCUGUAAAAUGGACCAAUCAGCAGGAUGUGGGUGGGGCCAAAUAAGGGGAUAAAAAGCAGGCCAUGCGAGCCACCUGUGGCAACCCACUUGGGUUCCCUGCGAUGUUGUGGAAGGGUUGUUGUUUUGCUGUUUCCAGUAAAUGUUGGUGUUGCUCAGUUUUUGGGUCCACACUGUGUUUAUGAGCUGUAACACGCACUGCAAAGGUCUGCAGCUUCACUCCUGAGGUCAGCGAGACCAUGAACUCACCAACCUGCUGGGAGGGAUGAACAACUCCGGACGCGCCACGUUUAUGAACUGUAACACCACGAAGGUCUGCAGCUUCGCUCCUGAGGCCAGCACGACCAUGAACCCAUUAGAAGGAAUGAACAACUCCAGACGCGCUGCCCUUAGGAGCCGUAACACUCACUGUGAAGCUUUCACAGGAUCACUCUGGCUGCUGUGUUGAUCCUGGACUGUCAGGGUACAAAGGUAGAGGAGACAUUGCGGUGAUCCCAGGGCCCUGGAGAGAGGAGUGGCAGUGGAACUGAUGAGAGGUGCUCAGAUGCUGGAGAGAACUAGAGUGACUUGCCCAAGGUCACACAGCUAGUCAGCAGGAGAGCCAGGCACAUCUAGUGAUACCAAUAUGACACUGAAGGCACCCGAGGUGGAUUCCUGGCAAGCUUCUACUGUGCAUAAGAUGAAGAUCUGCUCUUGUCUGAUGGCUACUCCAGGAAGAAGCAGAUGAGCUACGGCUGGAAUUAUAGCCAUGAUGCUUUUCUCUAAUCUAGAAGGUUCCUGAGGAUGUCAGUGACUGAUCUGUGGCUUGGCAUGUUCACUGAGUCGGUUCUGUCCACAUUUCCAGUCUAAUGUAGCCAGGAGGGGUUCUCAUAGCAGACACUCUGAGGUGUCUCAGCCUUUAGAUUGCAGGAGACAGAUCUGGACUUAGGCCGCUGGCUUAGGGGAUGCCGCCAAGUGACCUAAAGAGUUUCAGAGUCUUAACUAAACCGGA